rnacentral:rRNA from 1 species
GACGAACGCUGGCGGCGUGCUUAACACAUGCAAGUCGAACGGAAAGGCCCUGCUUUUGUGGGGUGCUCGAGUGGCGAACGGGUGAGUAACACGUGAGUAACCUGCCCUUGACUUUGGGAUAACUUCAGGAAACUGGGGCUAAUACCGGAUAGGAGCUCCUGCUGCAUGGUGGGGGUUGGAAAGUUUCGGCGGUUGGGGAUGGACUCGCGGCUUAUCAGCUUGUUGGUGGGGUAGUGGCUUACCAAGGCUUUGACGGGUAGCCGGCCUGAGAGGGUGACCGGCCACAUUGGGACUGAGAUACGGCCCAGACUCCUACGGGAGGCAGCAGUGGGGAAUACUGCACAAUGGGCGGAAGCCUGAUGCAGCAAGGCCGCGUGGGGGAUGACGGCCUUCGGGUUGUAAACCGCUUUCGCCUGGGACGAAGCGUGAGUGACGGUAAUGGGUAAAGAAGCACCGGCUAACUACGUG